rnacentral:lncRNA from 1 species
AAGAAUUUGUUUGCAAAACAAGUGUCUCACAAGCCCAGUCUCUUUUGCUGCUUUGCUGAUCCUCCACUCAGAGCAGCUACUUGUUUUGCUGUGUUGCCCUCCAUCCUUAAUAUCCAUGCCUUCCAUCUUUUCAUACCUUGUUUAAAUAAUGCCCAUCCUGACUUCAGAUUGGUUAUAUUUGGCCACUGUUUCAAAGGACUUAUACUGUUGCAAGAAAUUCCUGCAUACAGAUGCACUCAUACGGACAAUUGCCUGUCAGCGUCUUUCACCUGGGCUUCCUCUUUGAGCAGCAAGAGAAAUGAAGUGGGAUGGCAACACUGCCCUGUAGUGGCUACAGCCUCAUGUAAGCAGCUGCAAUCCUGCAACCUUCCCUGUUUCCAGAGCAUCCCUUGGAAGAUCCCUGGAGGGCAGGAAAAUGAGACCACUAGAAACAGGGAGCAGUGUGGUGCUGAAAAGAGGUCAGAAACGCUGUACCUCCAAAAAAGCUCAAGAAUACCACUGAAUCAGGGAGCCCUGUAAGCUCCUGUAAGCCUUUUCAUGGAAUGCACCAGCUUAUUUGGUCCAUCAACGUGAACUAGAGAAAUGAAUCUCACCAGGAGUCUUCAGCCUUGAUCCAAAAGCCAGCACUGGAAGAAACCCUCAGAAAUAGCUCCAUAAAGAUAUUGGUUUUCUUUUUAGAGCCUUGUCUGAAAAAAAUCAGCUUGAUGUGCCUGGAAUGGUUUUAGGAGUGUAAAAAAAAAUGAUAGUGCCACCUGAUUGCUAACUGAAGAGUUAUGUCUAUGGGAGUCAAAGUGAUCCAGGCAACCAUAAUGUCUGUUUUCCUCGAGCCUCAUUUAGGCUUUGCUCACUUUGACCAAGGUGGUGAACAAGCCCCCUUGGACAUAUUUGUUCUCAAACAAAGGUAAAGGGAUCAUGCCCAUCACCAUUUUCUGCAGAAGACAGCCAAGUAAGACCCAGGGAGGGGCACCUUUUCUCCCUCUCCAGCGUGGCUCUCUGUUGAACGAGGCUGUAAGGAGGCACAUCACAUUUGCAGCAUAUAUUGAUUUAUGAUUUCAAAGUGCUGAACAAACAGCCAUUUUUUCUAAACAGACCAUAAGCAAUUGCUCAUUAUCCCCCAUUUAAUAUGCAGGGAAAGUAGGUGGGCAAAUAACCUAGUUUGCUGUUCAAUUACUCCAGUGGGCCACGAUGUUGCACUAAUGCUGCUUCGUGUCCAGCUGCUCUGCUCGUGCUGAAUUAGCUGUGCUGCUGAGAGUGCCCAGCUGAAAAAGAAUGAACCUCAUCACCUCUCCUGAGCGUGCAGCAACAGCACACACAAUUAAUUGCACUUCUGGGGCUUGACACCUACUGUUCCACGUGUUUUGAUCCAUUUGUCGAUGUGGUGCCACUGAACCUCUGCACCCUGUCUGCGCUUUGA